UAGCCCAUGACUGCCUUAGUGUAAAGGAUGGGGCUCCAAGCUGAAGAUAAAACCUUGUCGCAAUAUGAUAUAGGUCUCCUCCAUGAAUGGCAGCUGGCAGUUGAAAAUUAGAGGGAGGGUGAUACCCUACAAGCAACAAAAUGAACAGAACGCCCAUUUGGAAUCCACUGCUUACCAAUGCCACUAAAGUAAUGUAACUUCUAGCCACCAAACACCUCUCUUGAAAAUUUGACUCCUACCGAGACCCUUGUGACUUGGAGAGCAUCCAUCCAAUGGUGUUAUAGAGAAGAUACAUCUGUUGCAUUGCCUUCCUUCUGUCUUUAAUUUAGCACAUUAGAUAACCACAAAGGUCAAGCAGCCCUUAUCAGCAAAUGCCUCCUUAAUGAGCAAUGCCUGGCUCUGCCUUGCACGUUCAUUAUGGCUCCUGUAAAGUUGGACACUUUUCCAUUCCUCGUUGUAGAAAUUUAUUUG